rnacentral:tRNA from 1 species
AGAGAGUUGGCAGACUAGUGCUCUUGAUUUAGGAUCAAGCCAAGGAACAAAUAUUCCACCCUCUA